GACCUAUUAGAACUAGUGUACAAGCUUAACAGAGUCACAGUGUCCAACAUGAACACUAAAAGCUGCUGUUUUUGUUUUACAGGGCUGUGGAGGAAACCUGGGGCCUGACACUGAAAAAGAGCAUGUUUAAAGUGCUGCAACAAUGGAUACCCAGCAGAGAGACACGAAUCACUGAGGUGGCUGCUGGGACAGUAAGCUGGACUGCGACAAGAUCACAUGAAGUUGUAGCACAAACACUGGUAACAAAGCCUGGAACCUACCUCCCCCCUCAGCUGGUGUGGAGAGGCUCUGGUCACUUAGACUUUCCGCCAACAUCCAAGCUGGGAGGAUUCUUUUCCUCUGGGUAGGACGUGGCUGGUGCUCACUGAAAGCUCUGCAUUCACCUGAAGAGGACUAAUAGAACCAUAAAUUAUUUCCUAAAGGAAUACAAAGGUAAAAGACAGCAAACACUGGAGCAAACACCACGAGGCUUAAGUUUCCUAAGCCAAGUGUUUUCCAGAAAGACAAAUGACGUGACUACUGCAGCCCAAGUAUGACUCAACCCUAGAGUGAUUUCCCUGAAGCAUCUGUGAAGGUGGAGGAAUCAGAUACAAACACCAUCCAGGCAAUCUUACCUCAG